rnacentral:lncRNA from 1 species
UCCCAUUAGCAUACAUCACCCUCAGGGUACCAUUAUUACAGAGCUGGUAGCUGUUCCGAACUUGAUCUGGAAAAAUGUUUCCAUGGUACUUUGCAGCCAUUAGUCGAAGGCUGCCUUCAAUUAGCACACAUACAUACCAUGUGAAGCCACAGGCCAGAUCCACUACAAAUCAAAGCCCAGGAUUCUUUCUUUGAGAAAAUGGAGAGAAGAAGUCAACCUUCCCCAUCCUCAUGCUUUUACUGCCGACUGCACCUGAUACCACCCCCACUCAAGAGAACUCUGAAGAGACUCAAAUACAUCAGGGAGCUGGAGUCAGUGGGUGGGUGCUGAUAAUGUGUUUAUCUUCCCCAGUGGAAACUACACGAGUCAAUCAGACGUCUGACCUUUUCCUUUACCGAAAAGUUACGGGAAGGAAAUGUGAGUCAGAGACUCCUUUUACAGAUACACUGCUUCCUGACUGUCUGGGCAAAGGAGCUGGCCUGGGCUGGCCUCUGAGAUGUCAGCUUUUGGGGCAGUGAGCAAGUGUGUACCUGUCGCUCCUGUGACUCCAGCCGUCACACGCAGAAGGACAGAAUCUACAUCAUUAAUCAUUUGGCAGAGCAGAAAUAGAGUCAUUGAAACAGGCUCCGCUGUGGGAUAAUAGUCCAGAAAUGUCACCAUUUAUCUACUGAGAGGACACUUUUAUCCUCUGACAACGGGCUAGCCCACCGACAUUAUAUCUUAAUUAAAAGAAAAAUUAAUCGGCACAAUUCAUUUUCUUGCCAGCCCCAGUGCUUGCCCUGGACUGCAAAACAUGUCUAGUAGCAACAAUAACCACAGGGUGGGCAGAGACCUUUGAGAUCCCAGUCUUGGAGAGAGAAUGUUAAAGAGCUCCAGUCCCAGGGCAACCAACUCAUCAAACAAAUGCUUAAAAGAGAGAAUCAGGAUGGAACAAGAAAAUAUGAAGUCUAGUGGUGAGCCAGGAGAAUAAAUGGCCUUUGAGAAGAUAACUAUGUGUUUUGGGUUGGUGGGGAGAGGUGGUGAUGGAAGGGUAAGAGGUAGGGAGAGAGUAUGUGGGGGGCGGGUGGAAAUGGACA